rnacentral:lncRNA from 1 species
UGGAGUAUUGGGAGAAAAAUAGAAUUAUUUGGAGUUGAAUUGGACGUAUUGGCCAAUUAAUCGGGUGAUAGAUCGAAUUAGGCCAAUACCGUUUUAUUUAAGUACACAAUUGAAUUUGUGUAGAACACCAUGUUUAGACGAUAAUCCGAACAAUUUGCAUUCCAUUUCAUGCAUUAGUAUAAGGCCUGAAUUGGUUUUAUAACAAUUUAGCACAAAUGUAGUAAAUGGCUUAUUGUGCAUUAUGUCUAGGUGGUGAGCAUUCUGACAAAAGUAAAGAGAUAGUACUUGAGGAUCAAGAAUCGAAGUACUUGGAAUUCGACUCCCGAAAUAGUGAGUGACCUUACUAUCGUCUUAAUUAUCUAAAGUGGUUUUUAUCUGAUUUUGUGAUGUUAUGAAAAAUGAGUUUAAAUGGUAAAUCUUUAUGUUUUACAAACAAAAUGUGUUUAAAUGAAAUGAUUUUAUAAAUUAUCUUGAAAUUGAAUGAUGGCUUUGAAAAUAGAGCAAUUGGAGACCAUUUGAUAUAUUGUGAAUUUAUGGUUCUAAUUGAUUGACUUAUGGCAAUAUUGGCAUGAAUGGCUGAAUUGGUAUUUGUGUUGAAAAUGUAUAAACUGUUGUUUGCCUUGAUAGGCUGGAUAAUGAUAAAAUUGCCAUGUCAUGUUGUUAAAUUUUAUUGAAUUGGUGGAUUAUUGAUUAGUCGCUGCAGUGGACGGGUUCUGUGGACCAGCCUAUUAGAGGGGGCACGGUAACCCUAUUAUAUUCAUACCUUAAUAUGAGAGGCGCGGUUGGAUAACUCUUGAGGUUAACACUUUAGAGUUCACUUCACGCCAAACCACCACAUGAGGGUGAACUCAGCCAACGCCAAGGAACGACUAUAUUUUCAAAAUAAAAACAUGAUUUAUGCGUACAUAACUUUUUAUUAGCCUUGACGGACUCGGUUGGGAUAGCCCUCGACCAAGGUAUCCCUGAUAACUAAGUAUGAGAAUGAAUUUGGCACGAGCCAAAGUUUUAAGAAAUUUAUAAGCCAUGUUGAUUACUCGAUUUAUAUGAAUUGAUUUUAUUUGAUGGAAAUGAGUUGAAAGGUGAUGAAUUACAGUAUGAUGAUCUAUUUUAAUCUGUCUCCAUUUGCUCAGGUUUAGAUAUUGUAGAUGGUAUUUGUUUAUUCACUAGGAUUAUAUAAUCUCACAACCCUCCUUUCCACCCAUUUCAGGCUCAAGAUAGUCGGUAGAUAGCUCAUUUCGUUGAGAGCUACAGUUGGACUUGCAUCCUUAAAAACUGUAAGUUUACCGCUUUUGAUGCUUUUGGUCGUUCGUGGGCCCACGUGUCACUGUAAAUUAAAUCUUAUGCUUUGGUUAUCUGUAUUAGAAUAUGUAUGAAUUUAUUUAGCUUUUACGCUACAAAAAUUAUUUACCGGUAACCCUAUAAAUAUUGUU